UACGUAGGGUGCGAGCGUUGUCCGGAAUUAUUGGGCGUAAAGAGCUCGUAGGCGGUUUGUCACGUCUGCUGUGAAAUCCCGAGGCUCAACCUCGGGCCUGCAGUGGGUACGGGCAGACUGGAGUGCGGUAGGGGAGAAUGGAAUUCCUGGUGUAGCGGUGGAAUGCGCAGAUAUCAGGAGGAACACCGGUGGCGAAGGCGGUUCUCUGGGCCUUACCUGACGCUGAGGAGCGAAAGCGUGGGGAGCGAACAGG
rnacentral:rRNA from 1 species